rnacentral:piRNA from 1 species
UCGAACUCAGAAAUCCACUGCCUCUGCCU